UACGUAGGGGGCAAGCGUUGUCCGGAAUUAUUGGGCGUAAAGAGCGUGUAGGCGGUCCGGUAAGUCCGCUGUGAAAGUCCAGGGCUCAACCCUGGAAUGCCGGUGGAUACUGCCGGGCUAGAGUCCGGAAGAGGCGAGUGGAAUUCCUGGUGUAGCGGUGAAAUGCGCAGAUAUCAGGAGGAACACCGAUGGCGAAGGCAGCUCGCUGGGACGGUACUGACGCUGAGACGCGAAAGCGUGGGGAGCAAACGGG
rnacentral:rRNA from 1 species